AUGAACGCUGGCGGCGUGCCUAAUACAUGCCAGUCGAGCGAACAGACGAGGAGCUUGCUCCUCUGACGUUAGCGGCGGACGGGUGAGUAACACGUGGAUAACCUACCUAUAAGACUGGGAUAACUUUGGGAAACCGGAGCUAAUACCGGAUAAUAUAUUGAACCGCAUGGUUCAAUAGUGAAAGACGGUUUUGCUGUCACUUAUAGAUGGAUCCGCGCCGCAUUAGCUAGUUGGUAAGGUAACGGCUUACCAAGGCGACGAUGCGUAGCCGACCUGAGAGGGUGAUCGGCCACACUGGAACUGAGACACGGUCCAGACUCCUACGGGAGGCAGCAGUAGGGAAUCUUCCGCAAUGGGCGAAAGCCUGACGGAGCAACGCCGCGUGAGUGAUGAAGGUCUUCGGAUCGUAAAACUCUGUUAUUAGGGAAGAACAAAUGUGUAAGUAACUAUGCACGUCUUGACGGUACCUAAUCAGAAAGCCACGGCUAACUACGUG
rnacentral:rRNA from 1 species